ACUUGAAUGAAUAAAAGGUUAGUACUUAGUUUUUGUAAAUAUGACACUUUUGCAUAUCAUUGUACUUUGUCCGUUAAACACUUCAUACACAUGUUUGUAAAGUGCUGAUCUCCAAGUUUAUCGAUAUGAAAUAUAAAAGCAAAAAUUAUCCAUUUUUGUGUGCUUAAGAGUAGGCAUGGGUAAAUGUGAUAUGCAAAUGAAGCACACACUUGAUAUUAAAUAAAACCAAUAAUAACUGACAUUGUAUAUAUAGUUGUUAUAGCUAACUGAUUAGUCACCAUCUUGCAAAUUUUGGUUAAGUCAAUAACAGCAUGUUUCUUGUUUUUGCUUCAGGUUUUUUUUUGGCGCUAUAUAAUUUCUUUAGAAAAAGUGACUAGUCAUAAGAUUAUUUUAUGUAUUGUAAUUGUGGGAAAUGACCUAUGGGAUAAUAUGAUACAAAAUUAGUAUAACACAUCCACAUAGAGAAAAAAACAAAUGCAAGCCUUGAUUUAUGAUUAGUGUACUAAUUGAAGGAUAAUAUUGUUAUAUCGUGGCUGCACAAAAGGUUGACAAAACAUGGUCAUACUAUGCUGCAUUUUUACUGUUAUCUGAAUUCAUAGAUUAAACUAAUAUAAAUCUAGCUAAUAUUGCACAUUGUACAUAUAGGGUAAGCAGCAGCAAUAACUACGUUAAACCAUAUAAUACAUAUGUAUGCGUUUAACUAACUUUUUUUCCUUUUACAUACUUUCUGUGAUUAAUUUCCAGUGAGUAAGUUAACCUGUCGGAGGCAAGACAAUUUUAAUAUGUAUACUUGUAUUUUCUUUUAUAUGUUUUGAUUAUUUUAUCUUGUUUUACACAUGUUCAUAUAUUUUGUUUACUUUUUAUUUGACAAAAAAA
rnacentral:lncRNA from 1 species